CCUACGGUAGGCAGCAGUGGGGGAUAUUGCACAAUGGGGGGAACCCUGAUGCAGCGACGCCGCGUGGGUGAAGGAGCGUUUCGGCGCGUAAAGCCCUAUCGGCAGGGAAGAAGGAGGACGGUACCUGACUAAGAAGCCACGGCUAACUACUGGCCAGCCGCCGCGGAAAAACGUAGGGGGCAAGCGUUAUCCGGAUUUAGUGGGUGUAAAGGGGGCGCAGACGGCAGCGGAAGCCAGGAGUGAAACCCCGGGGCUCAACCCCGGGACUGCUCUUGGAACUGCGCGGCUGGAGUGCAGGAGGGGCAGGCGGAAUUCCUGGUGUAGCGGUGAAAUGCGUAGAUAUCAGGAGGAACACCGGUGGCGAAGGCGGCCUGCUGGACUGCAACUGACGUUGAGGCCCGAAAGCGUGGGGAGCAAACAGGAUUAGAUACCCCUGUAGUC
rnacentral:rRNA from 1 species